rnacentral:rRNA from 1 species
UUAAAUUGAAGAGUUUGAUCAUGGCUCAGAUUGAACGCUGGCGGCAGGCCUAACACAUGCAAGUCGAACGGUAGCACAGAGAGCUUGCUCUCGGGUGACGAGUGGCGGACGGGUGAGUAAUGUCUGGGAAACUGCCUGAUGGAGGGGGAUAACUACUGGAAACGGUAGCUAAUACCGCAUAAUGUCGCAAGACCAAAGAGGGG